UCAGGCUUUUCCUGACGUUGAGUUUCAGCCUCGGUGUUUCUGAGUCUCGGUGUUUCUGAGUCUCGGUGUUUCUGAGUCUCGGUGUUUCUGAGUCUCGGUGUUUCUGAGUCUCGGUGUUUCUGAGUCUCGGUGUUUCUGCGCUUCUGUGUUGGAGUUUUUCAGUUCGGUGCGGGACAUGAGAGACUCGCUCCUGUUCGCUCCGUGAAACUCACAGGACGCGGAGAAGAAUGGAGGGAGCAGAGGACGCCAGCCCCCCCACGUCCACAGGAGACACCCCCACGUCCACAGGAGACACCCCCACGUCCACAGGAGACACCCCCACGUCCACAGGAGACACAGGAGACACCCCCACGUCCACAGGAGACACAGGAGACACCCCCACGUCCACUGGAGACACAGGAGACACCCCAACUCACACGGAAUCUCCUCAAACGUCGGCGCUCUGUGUGAAACCCCAGUGUCCACCUGAAGAGGGCGCCGCUCUGGGCUCAGAACACACACACACCAGCACAGUUUCAGAUUCACCUGUGACUCCUCCUCCUCCAGAUUCACCUGUGACUCCUCCUCCUCCUCCUCGCGUGGGUGCGGCGGCCGUCGUGGUUCAGAGCAGCAGCAGGAGUCCGGCGAGUGAGAAACUGGAGCGAGUCCGGAAGUGGAGCAUCACCACCUACAAAUGCACACGUCAGGCUCUGGCGGAGAAACUGGGCCGCGGCUCUCGGACCGUGGACCUGGAGCUGGAGCCUCGUCUGGAGCUGCUCAGGGACGACCGGCAGCGCUACGAUCACAUGACCAAACUCACGCAGACGCUGGCCAAUCAGAUCGCUCAGCUCUCCGUCACGCAGAAGGCGCUGGGGGACGCGUUCUCUGAGCUCAGCGUCAAAACGCCGACACUACACGUGGAGUUUGGGCUGAACGCCGAGGCUCAGAGGUUUCUGGGUAAAAGCGGCGAGACCCUGAGCGCCGCCGUGAACUCCUUCACCUCCGACAUGAACACGCUGCUCAACAAAACCAUCGAGGACACCAUGAUCAACGCCAAACAGUACGACAACGUGAGGAUGGAGUAUGACGCGUACCGUGUGGACCUGGAGGAGCUGAACAUGGGCCCACGAGACCCGGUGACGGUUCCCAAACUGGAACAGGCCCAGAAGAACUUCAGCCUCCACAGAGAAAAGUACGAGAAGAGCAGAGAAAACCUGUCAAUCAAACUCAAACUGCUGGAGGAGAACAAGGUGAAGGUUCUGCAGAAUCAGUUGUGGUUUUUCCAUCAGGCUGUGGCCUCUCACUGUCUCAACUCCCACCGCUUCCUCCAGAACAACAUCCUCCACAACCUGCCCCCCGAGAACAACCACAGCGCCCCCAGCUGGCUGGAGGAGUCAUGACCACAACCACAGCCACAGCGCCCCCAGCUGGCUGGAGGAGUCAUGACCACAACCACAACCACAGCCACAGCGCCCCCAGCUGGAAGAGUCAUGACCACAACAACCACAGCGCCUCCUGGGAAGUCGCAGAGCGGGAAUUUGAAGGGGAAUUUUCUUGGGUCCAUAUUUGUCUGUUUGUGCAUUUAUAUUAAACAGUUCUGUUCCACCUGUGCAGGGACAGGGGAGGGGGGGGAGGGGACAGGUGAGGGGGGGGGAGGGGACAGGUGAGGGGGCAGGGGGGGGACAGGUGAGGGAGGGGGCAGGUAAAAUAAUGGUGGGGUGUCCAAACUGUGGUCCUGGGACCAAAUUCAGAUUUUUACAGCUAAAUGUAAAUCUUUGUGCCUCAGUCACAGACGUGAAGAGAAGAUCUGACUCUGAAAACUCUGACGCUGUAAAGAAACGUUCUCCUGGACCCAGACGAGGGUUUGUGGACGUGUUGGUUCCAUCGUCAGUGUGAGAUUUACUUUUCUGUGUCUGAGAACAAAGACAAACUCAGUGACGUCGGGUUUGACGGAGACAAACUCGCGUCUGUGGUUCAAACUUUAAUAAAGAAACAAUAAUCUGUAAUAAUAAAACCAAACAACAACAACACAACAGAAACCCUCGAGACCCGACAGUUUGGACGCCCUGAAACAAACUCACACGUGGGAGUUUUAAAAUUUCUAUCUUUAAAUGUUUUUAUUGAGAUAAAAUAUUUUUAUAAAACACAUUCCUCCAGCAGCAGGAGCCUUUCCACAGACGUAACGCCACACUGUGGAACCUUCCAGACAAAGGCCCAGUGCACAUGUGACACACACACACACACACAAAUACAACCAAACACAACCAAACACACUGUGUGAACUUUCACUUUCACAUUUGACUGAAGCUUUUGCACCUUAAAUAAUCUGCCAAAGACUCGAGUCAUUUUGUCCUUUUGGAUUUUCAGACCUUCAGAUUUAUACAGUUCUGACGAGUUUCACUUUUGUAUGUUUACUUUUGUAUGUUUUACUUUUGUAUGUUUUACUUUUGUAUGUUUUACUUUUGUAUGUUUCACUUUUGUAUGUUUUACUUUUGUAUGUUUUACUUUUGUAUGUUUUACUUUUGUACGUUCUACAUGUUCAUGUUCUCUGUUCACUUUGCUGAUGUUCAUGAGGGAACAUUAGAACAUUAGAACAUUAGAACAUGACUUCAUUUGUCUGUGAUUUAGGACCUUGAAUGUUUUACAGAUUUUUAGUUUUCUUUGAGUUUUGCACAACGUCUCAAACUUUGUGAGUUUCUGUGAAUGUUGAACUUCAGAGAAGACGUGACCUCAAACUCUCCAAACUCUCCAAAGAACCAAAGAAACACUCCAGAGUUUUACUCUUCAGACGUUCGUGUGAUUUCACUUUGAAAAGUCACAUUAAAAUCCUCGUGUAAAUCUG